rnacentral:lncRNA from 1 species
ACUGUUGCCGUGGAUGGGUCCCUGAGACUUUGCGAAGUAGGAGCCCUGUGUGAUAGUGCGUCAGAGUCGGGCCUGAGAGCAGUCCUGGCCAGGGCUUUAACAGGAUGGUCUCCGGAGCCUGGGAUUCUCGGAGGGCUGACCACCAGGAAGAAACCUCAGAAGUCGGAAUCUCACUCUGUCACUCAGUCGAGUGCAGUGGCGGGAUCUCAGCUGACUGCAAACUCUGCCGCCCAGGUUCAAGUGAUUCUCUUGCCUCCGCCUCCCGAGUACCUGGUACUAGAGGGAUUAGUCAGUGUCGGGGCUAAGACCAGUCCUGGCCAGGGCAUCAACAGGAUAGUCUCUGGAGGCCGGGAUUCACGGAGGGUCGUCCAGGAGGAAGAAACUGCAGGUGGAGGGCCGGGCAAGCAGCGCGGGAUCCCAGGUUCAGGCCUGCACGGACGGUGUGCCAGUGAGUCUCUUCAAAAAAGGAGAGGUUUGCUUGUGUGCCCGUGGGCUGCUCUCUCACUAGUGGGUUGUAGUCGUGGAGAGCAGAACCCUGAAAAUUCAGGGGCUGCCUGGGUGUAGGUGUUACCGUGCCACUGCUGUAUGUCUGUGCGUUUGUGUGUGUGCGUAUGUCUCUCUCUUGUUUCUCUCUCUCCCUUUUCUCACUCUUUUGCUCUGUGUCCCUGUGUGCGUGUGUGUGUGUGUGUGUUGGGACAUAUGUGCCCUGUGCGCCAGAGGACGGUAUCUUCUACGUCCGCCUUUCUUGUGGUCAGCCUCUCCCCGCGUCUCUGCCUGGCUUGCGUGGCCCGUUGUCAGUCAUUUUUCUGGCGGUUCCAGUUUAGGUUUGUGAAGGUCCAGAUGAGAUGGGGAGCUGCGUCUCUCUCAUAAGAAUUUAAAUCACCUCCCCACCCUGAGAGGCCUCUUUUCCAGGAUAAAGGCCUCCACCCCCAAGCCAAGGAUAAUAGCCUCACCGGAGAGGUCAUUGUCUACCUGCAGGAGCAGUGCAGAGCGACCUGAAAGAAGGUGGUUCUCAUUCGUCUCUCUCUUUCAUCUCCUUGAGAAAUCUAGCCACAGGGUAACACAGGUUUUGAGAGGAUGGGAACGGGACGUGGCAAGGAUCUGUGAGUGUGCAGGCUGUGUUUCACAUAUCAUUAAACAUAGUCUAGUGAGGGUUCUGCAGAUAACUGGCAUUUAAGUUUGUUUUAUUGAAUCAAGGAAAAAGAAAAAAUACUGAGAAAAAAAUGACGCAACUUGCCUGCCAGCCCAUCUGACUGUUACAAAUUUAAUAGUAAUUUUAAUUUAUCAUCUCAUGUAAAGGUCCUUGGCAGUGAUACCUAAUUUCCUAAGAUAGCCUUGCUUUAUAUUGUGUGAUUAAGAUGUCAUGCAUAUCAGAGUAUCUGGAAAUUCUUCCCAACGUCCUUUACAUACGUGAUUAAUCACAUUUCCAAAAUAACAUACCAAAACGAAUAACAGAAAAUCAUUUUAAGUUGUGGUUCCUUCAUGCACAAAACAUUUCAUGUGUGUCUGGCCCUCUUCCGGCCACAGAUUUCAUCUUAACCUAAGUAUUGAAAUGCUUGUGCCCUUUGAUUAAUUUUUCUGUGUAAAUACUUUGAUAAUAAGCUACAUUGAGGCCGGGUGCAGUGGCUCACACCUCUCAUCCCAGUUCUUUGGGAGGCUGAGGCCAGCGGAUCACGAAGUCAGGAGAUCAAGACCAUCCUGGCCAACACAGUGAAACCCUGUCUCUUCAAAUAUACAAAGAAUUAGCCAGGUAAGGCCAGGCUCUGGCUCAUGCCUGUAAUUCCACACUUUGGGAGGCUGAGGAGGGUGGAUCACCUAAGGUCAGGAGUUUGAGACCAGUCUGCCCAACACGGUGAAACUCUGUUUCUACUAAAAAUACAAAAAAUUAGCUGGGUGUGGUGUCAGGUGACUGUAAUCCCAGCUACUCGGGAGGUUGAGGCAGAAGAAUCACUUGAACCCAGGAGGCGGAGGUUGCAUUGAGCUGAGAUCAUGCCACUGCACCAUCUGGCCUGGGGGACAAGAGUGAAACUCUGUCAAAAAAAAAAAAAAAACUGGUCUAUACUGAAAAUACAAAAAUUAGACCCUGAAGGUCACGUCCAAAUGAGAAAGACAUUGUUUGGCUCAAAUUGUCUGACACUAAGGAAUAGUGCAGACUGGACAAGUGAGGUGGCUGACACCUGUAAUCCCAGUACUUUCGGAGGCCGAGGCUGGUAGAUCACCUGAGGUCAAGAGUUGGAGACCAGCCUGACCAACAUCAUGAAACUCCAUCUCUACUAAAAAAAAGUACAUGAAAAUUAGCUGGCUAUGAUGGUGCAUGCCUGUAAAUCCCAGCUACUCAGGAGUCUGAGGCAGGAGACUUACUUGAAACUGGGUGGCGGAGGUUGUGGGGAGUGGAGAUCACACCACUGCACUCCAGCCUGGGCAACAAGAGUGAAACUCUGUCUCAGAAAACAGAAUAGUGCAGAGUAAGAGCAGAUUUAUAUAUGUAUGUAUGUAUGUAUGUAUGUAUGUAUGUAUGUAUGUAUGUAUUUUCAGAGAAGCAGGGAAUCUGGAAUUUUGGGUGAAAUGUCUGUUUCCAGAAGCUGAAAAUGCUCUCAAAUGGAAAAUUCAGGUUAGCCUAUAUCAAGCUUCUCCUUGUUCUAUGUGUGAAGACCAUGGGACAGAGGGAGCAGCUUGAGCCAAGUCAGGAUGGUAGGAUGGGACAGGUGGCCAGGGCUGCUGCACUGGGGACCCUGGUGGAGGAUUUCGCUGGAAACGCAGGUGGGACCAGACCAUGAAGAGUCUCAAACACAGACUUGAGGACUCUGACCUUUAUCCUGGGGGCAGCAAGAAGCCAUGUUAGGUGAAGGAACAAGGCUGUUUCUCCCUCAGCACUAGUGCAAGGAAAGGCCAGGGAGGCCCUCAGUGGAAGCUUGCUGCUGGAUUUGUUGAUGUGCCUUUUCUCCUGCCUGCACUGGGGUCAGAAUGGCCUUGGGUACUGCACACUUCCUACCAGGAAUAGAAGGCCCCACAGCUAUAGCACCUCUCUUCCUUUUAGUUCUUUGGAAGGAUGAGCAAAUUAUUCACCCUCUCUGAGCCUCAGUUUUCUCAUCCAUAAAAUGAUGACAGUUCACCAACCUGGCAGGUCACAAGGAUGUUAUGAAAUCAGGUGAGCACAGCAUAGCAGGUGUAUUUUUGGGUCCUAUUAUUACAUGUGAACUAAAUUGCCUUGUAGAAAAGGCACAGGCUCAGGGGACCUGUGUUUCAAUCCCACUAUGCCCCUGUAAUGCCCACCUCUCAGGGAUGAUGGAAAGAUUAAGUUCACGGAGAUGAUGCUUGUGCAGCAUCUGAUACCCAGCAGAUACCUAAGAACCUAACCUACCACCCACCUGAGCAAGCACAACAGUCCUGCUCCUCCUGCAAGCACUGGGGAUGCUGCCUCCCACCCGCCUUAGAACACUGCUCCUCCUCCCUCUCUGCAGGGGGCAUUUUGUAGGCCUCAGUCGCUGGGCUUGCUGUCCUCUCACCUGCCUCUCAGCACGGGGCUCAGAGCACACAUUCUUCACCUUUGCAAGAAGCUUCUCUACGCAUCCUUGCCCCUAGGCUUGCUGAGUGCAUUCACCUGUUGUCUUAUUUAUAAUCAGGACAGAGUUGCUCCCUACUGUGUAGAUGAGGAAAUGGAGACCUAGAAAGGGAAGGAAAGACCAACACUUUGAGCACCUGCAAUGUGCCUGAGGCAAUGUACGCAUUAGCUCUGCUUCACAGCAGCCCAAGAGGGAGGUAUUAUUCUUCCCCUGUGUAAAUGUGGGUGUUGAGGCUCAGAGAAGGGCAGUGACUUGUCCAAGGUCACAUAGCAAGCAACCGUCAGUGGCUGAGGGCUAACCCAGGUCUUUCUGACUUCAGAGUGUGGGAUUUAGAACAAACAUUUGCAACGUGAGAUUGACAGAUCCAUCCCCCAGUGCCAUUCCAAAGACCAGAUGGGGUCAUAAGUGUGUGAGUACCUGACAUGGUGCCCAAGGACUGGGAGUAGAAGCAGAAUCCCAUCCACCUCCACCUAAUCAUACAGAGAAAGGAGACAGGAGCUGAGGGAGGGCAGUGCUAUGUCCAAGCUCUCAGCAAGCAGUAGGCAGAGCCCAGGCCCCUGCUUUCCCAUGCCCACCCCUUCCCAGUUCAGGGCAAGGCCACCUCUCCAGGGCCUUUCCCUCCCCUAGAGAGGAAACUCCCCAAGUUCCUCUGACCAGACAGGAGAGUGAACGAGAGAAGAAAAUUCCACUUCAGCACACACACCUGGAGCCUGAGGCUGAAAGCUGGAAUCCCAGACUUUGACACUCAAGAAGGCAUCUCCACACUUUUUCAGCACCUCCACCUGGGACAUUCAUGAGCACCUGGCUUCCCUCCCAGGGGAGAGGGGUGUCCCAGAGACACUGGGGCCCUUAGAAGGCACUAUGAGUUGGCAGUGACUGCAGCAGCGUGGUGGGAUUGUGGGUGGUGUAGGAAGCAGGGGAAGCAGAUCACAGCACUCAGGAUGGCCAGAGCUGAAGGCAUCAGAGUCCCCUGUCCUUGUUCUGCAAAAAAAAAAAAAAAAAAAAAACCCACGGCAUAUUCCCUUCCCACUCCACACCUCCCACGGUCAGCAGUAGGCCCCAGAGGAGGAGAAGCGAGGCCUCAGGAGGACAGCAGCCACUGCUGGCAAGACGUUGGUGUUCUCCUGUUGAACUGCACAGGUUGUCAGCAUCAGACAAGGUCGCUCUGUGACCAUGAUGGGUCAAGACAAAGCAAGGUCACUUGGUAGCUAUCAUGGCUCAGCUCAUGCAAAACAUGGACAAAAAUGACCUCACACCCCCUCCCCUGUGUCUAUGUCAUGACCACUACCUCUGUCAAUUGCAGCGUUAGCUUUGGUCUUGUCUUCCUUCCUUCUAGGUAAGAUUGGGGAAGAUGCCAGGUGAUAGAAUCCACCCUGCCUCUGACAGCAUCCAAUCUGGAGCAAAGGCUUCUUUCAACCUUCCCCCAAGCUCCCAAUACAAGCCCAAAUUCUGGAACAAGUCCUUUCCAACACCUCCUUCAGAGAAGCUCCCUGGCUCCAGGCAGUGCUUGCUCCCCUCACUGCAGCAGGAAGCCUAACUUGCGAACUGCAGGUGUGCUCCAGGUGGUCACUGGAUGCAAGGUAUUGACAGAUGGAUCCCAUUGAUACCCCCACUGCAUAACCAUGUAAGCCUAUCAUCCCCCACUUGCACAUGAGGAAACGGAGGUCCACAGGGUGGGGAAGGGAAGACAUAAUUUGUCCUUCAAAUGCGAUACCGGUGAGAUGUGAGAGGCAGCAUCCCUCAUAACUCAGCAAGGCAGUGGGCACACUAGGACCCUCCCAGGCAGAUCGGGUGCGUGGUCGCCCCCAUUGCAUAGCAUGGGUGGGAGUUGGGGAGACCAGACAUGGGUCUCACCACCUCUGCACUGGCCCGACCUCUCUGCAGGCCCCCAGGACAGGGUUAGCAUCUGCUUGCUGGCAGGCCUGGCCACCAGAAGUAUUUGCUUAUGUCUAAGGUCCCUGUAGUUGUGGUUCACAGGAUUGGGGCUGCUCCUGAGAUUCAGCACCACACAGGCACUGCAUGGAACUGUGCUAUGGUGGUGGGCACUCGCUUUCCAGAUAGGGCCCAUGUUGCCAGCAGGCAUGAUGCAUCAUUUACCCUACCCUGAGUGCAAUAUGUGGUUUUAUAGAAAAAAACUUGGGCCAGAUGCGGUGGCUCACACCUGUAAUCCCAGCAGUUUAGGAGGCCAAGGUAGGCGGAUCAAAAGGUCAGGAACUCAAGACCAGCCUGGCUAAUAUAGUGAAACCUUGUCUCUAUGAAAAAUACAAGAAUUAGCCAGAUGUGGUGGUGGGCACCUGUAGUCCCAGCUACACCGGAUACUCCGGAGGCUGAGGCAGGAGAAUCGCUUGAACCCAGGAGGCAGAAGUUGCGGUGAGCCAAGAUCAUGCCACUGCACUCCAGCCUAGGCGACAGAGCAAAACUCCUUCUCAAAAAAAAAAAAAAAAAAAAAAAAAAGAAAGAAAAGGAAAAGUAUUUGUAGAUGAAUGAAGGUGAUUCCUUUGAAUAUUGAAAAUGAUUUUAUUUUAGCCAUUGGUCUGACACUCAUUCCGAUGGGGUGACAUGUGUCCCUGCCUUAGUCAUCAGAGCACAGGAGUUUGCUACACCUCCCCUCAUCUGAAGAUUCAGCCCAUGAGCAGGAACGCCUGUCUUUGUGUCAUACCAACAGAGAGGAUGUGUCUGGUUUCACCAUUCACUGCAGAGGCAGAAAUUACCCAGAAAGAAGAGACAGUCUGUUCCCGGGAGUGUGUCCUUUUGACCCCGCAUGGGGGUCAUCUCCCUUCCUUGGCCAGGACCCCCAACCUGAACACAGAGGUAGAGAACAUGUGAAGGGCUCCCAUUCCCAGGUGGUCCAGGGUGCAAGCUCUGAGCCUGUGGUCCUGGUCACUGCCCUUUUCUCCACAGCAUGGCAGUCACCAUCCUGGGCUGGGGUACAGAGGGGCUUUGCAGAGAUCAGCAUAACAAAAGCAUCACUGAGAUGCUGCAAUAGGAAACCGUGAUACCUUCGUGGGCUGCCAAGGCAGCCUAAGCUAUUUGUUGCUGCACUCAGUGUCCCCAGACAGCUGUGUGGCUGUCACUGCCUCUGAUGUGUCCAUUUUACUUCUCUUCUCCUGCCUCAGCUUCUGCUCUGAACUCUGUCUCUAACUUACAAGAAAUCAAGCUCACUGGAUUCUGAGCUCUUCGGGGUCAAGGACUGUGUCAGUAGUUCAUGUCUCUUUCUAGAGAUCACAGCUUAGUAUCUGGCACAGAGCAGAUACUCAGCCAAUGCCAAAUGAUUCAUUUGCCAGAAGGCUGAAUAUCAUCCAUAAUCCUAGUCAAUGCAAAUACAUUUUGCCGGUGGGGUGUGUUUGUCCUCUGAAGGCGUUUUCCCAGGCUUUGUAAAUACAUACAGGCCAUUUAGAAAUUUGAAUGUCAAAGAGUAAAGGAGCUUAGAAAGUAAGCAUUGGAGAAGUGUGGGAGGGUGGUAUUAUUUACAAAACAUUCCUGGGUCCUUGUGAGUUCUAUACACCCUUGAUGAGCACUGAUUCUGGGCCAGGCCAGACACCCAGCUGGACCCAGGAGAUACUGAGGUGAGUAAAGCCAAAAUGCCUCCAUUCAGCAGGAGGCGGGCAGUCACACCAAAGUGAUAAAGGCACAAAAUGCAGAGGCAGCAGAGGAGCAAUGACUACCUUGUUCCAGGACUCUGUGACCUCAGGGAGAGCUUUCAGAGGAGGACAUCUGUGCAAGGCUUGGAAGGAUGAACACAAAUUUGCCUAGCAGAAAAGGGAGCCAAGCAAAUCCUGAUGGAGAACAGCUUGGGUGAGAGUGUGAGCCACAGGAUUGAGGGGCUCAGGCAUGUAACUGGAGGAGCAGAAAGAAUGAGGGGAGAUAAAGUUGGGAGGUCAGCAGAGGUCAGUCACAGAAGGUUUUGAAUCCUGGUGAGGAAGCAAUGGGUGCUGCACAAGGGACAUGGGCCUGGAGGAGAUGCAGUUAGCUCUGAGUGAAGAUGGAGCAUGCCAUCCACCAGGGAACCACAAGAUGCAAUAGAAAUAAGAACCCUGAGAAGCCUGCACAAAGAAUGAGGGGCCCAGGGGUAGCACCAAGAAGGUCCCUGUCAGAGGCCAGCUUUGAACGGAGACAGAAAAGACUCUUGAGGGCCUCAGCUGCUGCAAACCUCCUCAAUAAAUCAUAUUUUACCUUCCAAUAUUUGCUAAAGAAUACUAACUAUUGGAAGAGCAAUGGCCCAUUGAUAAUAAUUAUUCCCUCAAUGUACAUUUUUUACAAUUCUCAAAAUGCUCUCGGUCCAGUCUCUCAUUGGAACCCCCAUAAAAUCCCAUUUUACAAAUAGGGAAAUGAGGCCCUGUGAUGUCACACCGAGGUUUGCAGCAGUUCCAGGAUAGAAA